CAGGGAUAAUGGAUAAAUCUAAUAACAAAUAACUUAUGAAGUUUGGUUUCAGAAUGACUUUCACUACUACAAUGCUUUCAUGUAGUGUGAUUGAAUUUGGUGGACUUAUGAAAGGAGGGUUGCAGAACGCAAAAGAAGUCAUUCGUUGGGCUACUGAUCACCUUCUCUAAGCUACUGCACAUCCAGACACUAUUUACGUUGAGGUUGGAGAUGCUAACAAGGACUACGCGUGUUGGGAAAGACCCAAAAAUACGGAUACCCCAGGAAGUUUUUUCAAAAUAAAUAGGAAUUCUCUUGUUCUGAUGUUGUUUAGCAGCAUAAUAAUGAAAGAUACAUAGAGAUAUAGAUUGAAUUUUAAGGAUCACUCAGUAAUUGGAAGAAAAGAUUGGGAGCUGUGAUAGAAGAAAAGCUUGGGUUUUUUGAUUUAGGUGUUUCUCUUCUUUGUAAUUCACACUUUGAGAGAAAGAGGAAGACCAUAGGAAAAAUGUAGACAUUUCUUAUGUUAAGAUUCUGGUUGUGUAUGACA